AUGGCAGCAUCCGCUGGAGGCCCAGAAACGUAACAACAAAGCCUGGAUGACAGCACGUCUGUUUACAGCAUGAUUUACAGAAUAUUUUAAGCCCACUGUGGGGACCUGCUGCUCAGGAAAAAAAAUAUUUCUUUCAAGAUAUUACUGUUGAUUGACAAGGCACCUGGUCACCCAAGAGCUCUGAUGGAGAUGUGCAAAGAGAUUGAUGCUGUUUUCCUGCAUGCUUGCAUCUAUUCUGCAGCCCGUGGAUCAAAGGCAAUCCCUUUUCCGGGCACAUACCCAAAGGAAAUGAAAUCACCACUUUGUAAAGAUAUCUGCACUCCCAUGUUCAUUGCAGCAUUAUUUACAGUGGCCAAGGAUCUUGGAGUGAAAAUAUACUGGAAUAUUUUCUGAGAAAUAGCCAGAUUACAGCAGAAGACGGUGCUGAGAUCACCUGGUAUCAUGCAGCUAACCACAAGGCACAAACAAAUGAGGCACUGAAAAGUACUGCUCACAUGAUAGAGGCUGAUGUCCUUCUUCCAAGUGAUGGAUCAGAACACAG
rnacentral:lncRNA from 10 species